CCUUUUAACGUUUUGGAUACAUUACAAAUAGAAGCCAGAUAUAACUACAUUGGUUAGACGUAUAAAGAGGGGCAUGAGAUAUCCCUAAACAUGUUUAACACUGCCGCAUUUGUUGCACCUGCAUGUCCGUAACCUUUGCUACAUUUGUAUAUAGUCUUGUAUUUAUUUCAUUUUUUAAAUUUUGGUUCAUUUAUAUGUUUCAAGAACAAACAUUGAACUUCUACCCCCUUUUUGUAGUUAAAUGAUUGCUCACUUAGGAGACAGCUUCAGGUAUAUCAAUACACAAGUACAAGUUUAGUUUCGCAUUAUAGCCAUGGUGAAUUUUCUAAAUAUGAAAGUUUUUGUACAAUUGAAUUGAUUUUGGAUAUUUGGAUAAUAGUAUAUCCUUCCUAGUGGGUUUAUAUGAACAUUUAGAUUGUUUUUAGCAUGUUUUAUAAGCCAUUUUUCAGUUUGAACGUCCAUACGUUCCUAUCCGUACCGCCAUAGAUUUAGAAAUUUUGUAUUGUUUUUUCAACAAAGAUUUGACGCUCGAUCUUUUCAAUUCAAUUUUAUGGAAAAAACAGCAGAAAUGCAUAUGAUUUUUUUUUUACCUUUUGAUAG
rnacentral:lncRNA from 1 species